UUACAACCGUGCUUCGUAUAUGCCUGUUGAUAGGGAACAGGCGUUUCUACCCUAAACCGUAAAUUUGGGACUACGAAGGAGAGA
rnacentral:ncRNA from 1 species